AACGAACGCUGGCGGCAGGCUUAACACAUGCAAGUCGAACGCCCCGCAAGGGGAGUGGCAGACGGGUGAGUAACGCGUGGGAACAUGCCCAAAGGUACGGAACAACUCCGGGAAACUGGAGCUAAUACCGUAUGUGCCCGAAAGGGGAAAGAUUUAUCGCCUUUGGAUUGGCCCGCGUUGGAUUAGCUAGUUGGUGGGGUAAAAGCCUACCAAGGCGACGAUCCAUAGCUGGUCUGAGAGGACAACCAGCCACACUGGGACUGAGACACGGCCCAGACUCCUACGGGAGGCAGCAGUGGGGAAUCUUGGACAAUGGGCGCAAGCCUGAUCCAGCCAUGCCGCGUGGAUGAUGAAGGCCUUAGGGUUGUAAAAUCCUUUCGCCGAGGACGAUAAUGACGGUACUCGGAGAAGAAGCUCCGGCUAACUUCGUGCCAGCAGCCGCGGUAA
rnacentral:rRNA from 1 species